UGCCAGCAGCCGCGGUAAUACGAAGGGUGCUAGCGUUGUUCGGAAUUACUGGGCGUAAAGAGCAUGUAGGCGGAUGAAUUAGUCAGAGGUGAAAGCCCCGAGCUCAACUUGGGAACUGCCUUUGAUACUGUUUAUCUAGAGUUCGGAAGAGGAUGGUGGAAUUCCCAGUGUAGAGGUGAAAUUCGUAGAUAUUGGGAAGAACACCGGUGGCGAAGGCGACCAUCUGGUCCGACACUGACGCUGAGGCGCGAAAGCGUGGGGAGCAAACAGGAUUAGAUA
rnacentral:rRNA from 1 species